rnacentral:lncRNA from 1 species
AAAAAUUGUUUGUAAAUUUUCAGGACAUUCCGAGAACUUUUAUUUCUGCACAAAAACAACACCAUGGCAAUUUUCCUGAAAACAGCGUUACUCCGGGUUAGUUUCAUGCAAAUCAUGCAAGUUAGAUUCCAAAACAAGGGCAAAAGAGUUCGGAAAAGUAGAUACGUUGGAGACGUAUCAGCGCGCCGUCACGCUGCCG